GACGAACGCUGGCGGCGUGCUUAACACAUGCAAGUCGAACGGUGACGAGGAGCUUGCUCCUCUGAUCAGUGGCGAACGGGUGAGUAACACGUGAGCAACCUGCCCCAGACUCUGGGAUAACAGUUGGAAACAGCUGCUAAUACCGGAUACGAGACGGAGAGGCAUCUCUACCGUCUGGAAAGUUUUUCGGUCUGGGAUGGACUCGCGGCCUAUCAGCUAGUUGGUGAGGUAAUGGCUCACCAAGGCGACGACGGGUAGCCGGCCUGAGAGGGCGACCGGCCACACUGGGACUGAGACACGGCCCAGACUCCUACGGGAGGCAGCAGUGGGGAAUAUUGCACAAUGGGCGAAAGCCUGAUGCAGCGACGCCGCGUGAGGGAUGACGGCCUCGGUUGUAACCGUCUUCUAGCAGGGAGAAGACGAAAGUAGACGGUACCUGACAGAAGGAAGACGAACCGGACCGUAACCUACGUACGCCACGCAAGCCCGCGGGUAAGCCGUA
rnacentral:rRNA from 1 species